rnacentral:rRNA from 1 species
UCGAUUUGGAGUUUGUUGCCCUGAGUGAUGGGCUCCGAAGCUAACGCGAUAAAUCGACCGCCUGGGGAGUACGGCCGCAAGGUUAAAACUCAAAUGAAUUGACGGGGGCCCGCACAAGCGGUGGAGCAUGUGGUUUAAUUCGAUGCAACGCGAAGAACCUUACCUGGUCUUGACAUCCACAGAAUCUUGCAGAGAUGCGAGGGUGCCUUCGGGAACUGUGAGACAGGUGCUGCAUGGCUGUCGUCAGCUCGUGUUGUGAAAUGUUGGGUUAAGUCCCGCAACGAGCGCAACCCUUAUCCUUUGUUGCCAUCGGUUUGGCCGGGAACUCAAAGGAGACUGCCGUUGAUAAAGCGGAGGAAGGUGGGGACGACGUCAAGUCAUCAUGGCCCUUACGACCAGGGCUACACACGUGCUACAAUGGCGUAUACAAAGGGAGGCGACCUCGCGAGAGCAAGCGGACCUCAUAAAGUACGUCUAAGUCCGGAUUGGAGUCUGCAACUCGACUCCAUGAAGUCGGAAUCGCUAGUAAUCGUGAAUCAGAAUGUCACGGUGAAUACGUUCCCGGGCCU